rnacentral:rRNA from 1 species
AGUGAGAAACUGGAGGAAGGUGGGGAUGACGUCAAGUCAUCAUGGCCCGUACGACCAGGGCUACACACGUGCUACAAGGGCAUAUACCCAGAGAAGCGACCUCGCGAGAGCAAGCGGACCUCAUACCGUAUGUCGUAGUCCGGAUUGGAGUCUGCAACUCGACUCCAUCAAGUCGGAAGCGCUACUAAUCGUAGAUCAGAAUGCUACGGUGAAUACGUUCCCGGGCCAUGGAC